CAUCAUUUCUGUAGCCAGCGGUUCUGAACCUUGGCUACACAUUAGAAUCAGCUGAGGAACUUACACUUCUCUGCCAGGCUCCCCACCUCCCCCAGGAUCUGACUUAAGCGGUCUGGAAAGUGGCCCAGGCAUAACCAUUUGGGGGACCCUGGUGAUUCUCAUGGGCAGGUAGAGCCUGGGAACCACUGGGAAGCCCUGGCUUGGUCUCCAAAGCACAGGUUCUAAGGAGAGUAAAUGGAAGCUAGAAAAGGAGGAUGGUGGAAGAAACGAGACUUAGAAAUAAAGGAUUAAAGAGAAACUAAUCAGGACACAAAAUGCAAAGACGAAAAGGUUGAGAACUCCUCCCACCUCAAAAUAGCUUUUCUUUCACACCAGGCACUAGUUAGCUGCAAAAAUGUGAUCUCUACACAGAAGUUGAUAAUAAGAGGCCGCUCCCAAAGCUGCUGGAGCAGGUGUUUCCUCCCAAAAGAGGGCGGGCCAGAACUAUAAAUCUCAUUUUGGAAGUUUCAAGCCCUGGGGAUACUAUUCUGCGUUGCUGCCACUCUCGCUGCCAUCUGUACCGAAUCUCAGCUCCCGUUUCUGGGGCAGCCCUCCAUCCAACUGGCAGCCCCACAGUUUGCAUUCUUGCACAGUGUGUGAAUGGAGGGGGAGAGCCUUUGGCAAGGCAGCCCUGGGGUCUCCUUCCCUCAAAAGAUUUGCCAGUGAUCCUUGCCCUGCUGGCUUCCUCUUUAAUUGGCCCACGCUGUGGGGAGCAAUUGAGAUUAAAUGGCCGCUUGCUGGGUGGCUGUGCUGUGCUAGGCGUGCGUGGCCCUAUUUGGAGCAUUUGUUGUAUCCAGGAUUGAAUGAAGCAAGUGCUGCUGCUGAAGCUCGCGGGGUGUUCCUUGAAGCCAUGUCAAAGCAGGCUCUUAAUUUUGCAAAACAGCCUCCAAAGUCAAACUGGCUCUGUACCGGAGCCAUUCCGGGCAGAGGGAUGUCACGAGCAGAAGCCAGAAGGCACAGAAAGAAGUGGGCAGAAGGAAAUUUAGGGCUAUGAAUCAAGAAAAUAGGUUAUUGUGCAACUGCCAGCUUGCUUUGAAUAGCCAGCAAGGACAGGGAGGGAUCCCCCUCCAUUCAUAGAGUUCAGCCCAACGUGCUGGGAUAUCACUAAAUGGAAAAGAAGAGCAUCCAGGACAAUCAGCCUGUGAGAGGUGAGAUUAAUCUCUCUGGGAGAAGAAGUUGCCGUGUUAUGAACAGCUCUAGGAAAGGCCCAAGUUGUAAAGAACUGAAGCCUCUGGAUGAUAGCUAGUAAGGACCUGAAGGCUUCAAUACAACAGACUGAAGUAACUGAGGCCUGCCAAUGACCACGUGAGUGAGCUUGGAAACAGAGUCUCCAUCCUCAGUCAAGCCUUGAGGUGACUGCAACCUCCUAAGAGACUCUGAACAAGAACCCCCUAGCUCAGCCACUCCCAGAUUACUGGCCCUCAAAAACUCUGUGAGAUAAUAAAUGUUUGGUGUUUUAACCUGUGAA
rnacentral:lncRNA from 1 species